rnacentral:misc_RNA from 1 species
GGAUUUGGUGGAUUACUAGC